GGAAGUAAGGGCGAUCUGGCUGUGACAUCUGUCACCCCAUUGAUUGUCAGGGUUGAUUGGGCUGAUCUGGCUGGCUAGGCGGGUGCCCCUUCCUCCCUCACUGCUCCACAUGCGUCCCUCCUGAAGCUGCAUGGUGGGUCCAAGAGGACAACCUUCCCCGCAUCAAGGAGGUCUUGUCUUCAGUCAAGCAUACACGGAUAGCUGUGCUCCCCUAAUAGAACCUCCAAACAAGCUCUCAAGAUUUCCAGCUGCUAGGCGGUCUUCCAGGUGCUGCCCCAUCAUACCUCAAAAGGGGCCCGACUGAAACUAAGGACAAUUGGCGAAACAAGCAAGGGUGCUGUUUU
rnacentral:snRNA from 1 species